rnacentral:rRNA from 1 species
UGGGGAAUUUUGGACAAUGGGCGAAAGCCUGAUCCAGCAAUGCCGCGUGUGUGAAGAAGGCCUUCGGGUUGUAAAGCACUUUUGUCCGGAAAGAAAUCCUUGGCUCUAAUACAGUCGGGGGAUGACGGUACCGGAAGAAUAAGCACCGGCUAACUACGUGCCAGCAGCCGCGGUAAUACGUAGGGUGCAAGCGUUAAUCGGAAUUACUGGGCGUAAAGCGUGCGCAGGCGGUUUGCUAAGACCGAUGUGAAAUCCCCGGGCUCAACCUGGGAACUGCAUUGGUGACUGGGCAGGCUAGAGUAUGGCAGAGGGGGGUAGAAUUCCACGUGUAGCAGUGAAAUGCGUAGAGAUGUGGAGGAAUACCGAUGGCGAAGGCAGCCCCCUGGGCCAAUACUGACGCUCAUGCACGAAAGCGUGGGGAGCAAACAGGAUUAGAUACCCUGGUAGUCCACGCCCUAAAACGAUGUCAACUAGUUGUUGGGGAUUCAUUUCCUUAGUAACUAGCUAACGCGUGAAGUUGACCGCCUGGGGAGUACGGUCGCAAGAUUAAAACUCAAAUGAAUUGAC